CCUACGUGAGGCAGCAGUGAGGAAUAUUGGUCAAUGGGCUUACGCCUGAACCAGCCAAGUCGCGUGAGGGAAGACUGCCCUAUGGGUUGUAAACCUCUUUUGUCAGGGAGCAACGCCGGCUACGUGUAGCCGGACUGAGAGUACCUGAAGAAAAAGAAUCGGCUAACUCCGUGCCAGCAGCCGCGGUAAUACGGAGGAUGCGAGCGUUAUCCGGAUUUAUUGGGUUUAAAGGGUGCGUAGGCGGAAUGCCAAGUCAGCGGUAAAAUCGCGGGGCUCAACCUCGCUCCGCCGUUGAAACUGGCGUUCUUGAGUGGGCGAGAAGUAUGCGGAAUGCGUGGUGUAGCGGUGAAAUGCAUAGAUAUCACGCAGAACUCCGAUUGCGAAGGCAGCAUACCGGCGCCCAACUGACGCUGAAGCACGAAAGCGUGGGUAUCGAACAGGAGUAGAUACCCGGGUAGUC
rnacentral:rRNA from 1 species